AUUGAACGCUGGCGGCAUGCCUUACACAUGCAAGUCGAACGGCAGCACGGGAGCAAUCCUGGUGGCGAGUGGCGAACGGGUGAGUAAUAUAUCGGAACGUGCCCAGUAGUGGGGGAUAACUGCUCGAAAGAGCAGCUAAUACCGCAUACGACCUGAGGGUGAAAGGGGGGGAUCGCAAGACCUCUCGCUAUUGGAGCGGCCGAUAUCAGAUUAGCUAGUUGGUGGGGUAAAGGCCUACCAAGGCAACGAUCUGUAGUUGGUCUGAGAGGACGACCAGCCACACUGGGACUGAGACACGGCCCAGACUCCUACGGGAGGCAGCAGUGGGGAAUUUUGGACAAUGGGCGCAAGCCUGAUCCAGCAAUGCCGCGUGCAGGAAGAAGGCCUCGGGUUGUAAACUAGCUUUGUUCUAGGGAA
rnacentral:rRNA from 1 species